rnacentral:rRNA from 1 species
GAUGAACGCUGGCGGCGUGCCUAAUACAUGCGAGUCGAGCGAACAGAUAAUGAGCUUUCUCUUUUGACGUUAGCGGCGGACGGGUGAGUAACAAGUGGGUAACCUACCUAUAAUACUGGAAUAAUUCCGGGAAACCGGGGCCAAUGCUAGAUAAAAUUUAGAACGGCAUGAUUCUAAGGUGAAACAUGGUUUUGCUAUCACUUAUAGAUGGACCCGCGCCGGAUUAGCUAGUUGGUAAGGUAACGGCUUACCAAGGAAACGAUACCUUACCGACCUGAGAGGGAGAACGACCACCACGGAACUUGAACACGGUCCCGAAUCCCACGGGAGGCCACAGUAGGGAAAUAUCCGCAAUGGGGGGAAAGCUGGCGGAAGACAGCCGGCGUAGGUAUAAAAGGCUUCGGGGUGUAAAACUCUUUUAGUUGGGAAAAAAAAAUGUGUAAGUAACUGUGCGCGGCUUGACGGUACCUAAUCGGAAAGGCACGGCUAACUACGUG